GACGAACGCUGGCGGCGUGCUUAACACAUGCAAGUCGAACGGAAAGGCCCUGCUUUUGUGGGGUGCUCGAGUGGCGAACGGGUGAGUAACACGUGAGUAACCUGCCCUUGACUUUGGGAUAACUUCAGGAAACUGGGGCUAAUACCGGAUAGGAGCUCCUGCGGCAUGGUGGGGGUUGGAAAGGUUCGGCGGUUGGGGAUGGACUCGCGGCUUAUCAGCUUGUUGGUGGGGUAGUGGCUUACCAAGGCUUUGACGGGUAGCCGGCCUGAGAGGGUGACCGGCCACAUUGGGACUGAGAUACGGCCCAGACUCCUACGGGAGGCAGCAGUGGGGAAUAUUGCACAAUGGGCGGAAGCCUGAUGCAGCAACGCCGCGUGCGGGAUGACGGCCUUCGGGUUGUAAACCGCUUUCGCCUGUGACGAAGCGUGAGUGACGGUAAUGGGUAAAGAAGCACCGGCUAACUACGUG
rnacentral:rRNA from 1 species